GGAAUCUGGCUGAUUCCCCAAUCAUGACGGCUUGCGUUCAGAUUGUUUUGGGGACGAUAAAAACUUGCCUUCCAUGCUUGGAAUACCAGAGGUCCCUCCUACCCUACUGGGCCUACCCUUCCCUGAAUAAAGAAUGCAUCUCCCGGAGCAGCUCGGAGAGAGAUGGUUAGGAGCCACAGCUCCUCCCAACACUGACGCCCUCAUACCGCUCAUUUUACAUGGAGUGUUUUACCCUCCGUGGAUGGUAGAGAAGAGCUGGGGAGGAGUGGCCUGCUGCGUGGCUCUGGAGGAUGGAUGCAUCACUGCACACUGCUAUGGUGAACCCCCUUCUUGUCACUCCCGCUCCCGCUCUUCCCCCCUGGUGCUCGAGGGCGCCAGGCUGUCCUGCAUAACGCACUGCUGCCACCAUCAUUACGCACACCUACCUUCCCUCGUCAUGUGCAUCAGCGAUUAUUGGACUCACCUGGACUCAAUCACCUCUGUCAUGACCUUCCCUAUAUCUGUCUGGUUCCCCACUCUGUUUCCUGCUUUUGCAUUGAUUGUGAUAUGUCCUCGUUUACCCGUGUGCCUACGAUGUUCCUGUCCGAUUACCUGUCUGUUCCUCAUUAAAUGUUCAACUCCCUGUACCUGCUUCUCACCCCUGGCGUCGGUCCUUACACUUCUAAACAAAAGGAAUCUAGAUUCUUCAGCUCUUAGCAAUUUUCAGCCAAUCUCCAACCUUCCAUUCUUAAGAAAAAUUCUGAAGAAACUCAUGUUCAAACAGGUAAAUCAUUUUUUAAGUGCCAACUGUAUUUUUGAAAAAAAUUCCAAUCUGUUUUUUCGUGCCCAGCACAGAGACAACCUUGGUUGAAGUGGUACAUGAUCUUAGAUUUACGUCCUCUGUACAGCACUGUUGACCAUGAUGUUCUGGACAAACUGGAGAGCUGGGUUGGCCUCUCCGGUCCAGUUCUAAAUUGGUUUCAGACCUAUUUGUCGCCCUUGGUGAACAGAACUCAAGAGAAAAUACAUACCACAGGGUUCGAUGUUGGUUCAGGUAGUGUUCAGCUUAUAUAUAUUACCUCUUGUCAGCGUUAUCAGAAAGCACAGCAUUGAUUUUCACUGCUACGCACACGAUACACAACUGUACAUUUCUGUGUAACCAGAGGAUUUUGAACUACAUUUUAAAUCACACAUCAGGUAUGUGACCAAAAUGGCUUUUUACCACCUGAGGAACAUUGCCAACGUGCGGCCGUUUAACGGCACUGGCCCUUUAACUACCCCAAAGCCUAGGACCUAGAAGCAUGGAGAGGCAGCCUUUAGUUAUUUUGCCCCCAGCCUCUGCAAUAGCCUGCCAUAAUCUGAGGUUAAAUACUAGUAUUAGUAAAUAUUUCAGCUUUAAUUUGUAUUGUUUUUUAUUUGUAUUUUCCCUGUGAAGCGCAUUGUGUUGCAUUACGUCAUAAAUGUGAUGUAGAAAUAAAGCUUGAUUUAAUUGAUUAUUAUAGUGCUUGUCCACCAUUUGGUAGAAUCAACCUGAGUGUUCCUGUAGACACAGGAAGUCAGGACUGUGAGCUCCGUACACACAGACAUCAACAUGGAAGUCUGCAAUGUGAGCCUAGUACAGACAAACAGCACCAUGGAAGUCUGCAAUGUGAGCCUAGUACAGACAAACAGCACCAUGACAGUCAAGGAGAAUAUUAUUUUGCUACCAUUAUCUAACCAAUCUAACCAAGUAUUGAAAAUACUUUUUUUUCUUCACAAGUACAACCUGGAAACAUUGUUCUUACUGGUUGUUGAGGAGAAAUACAACACAAGAAAAACAACAGCGUUUGACAUUUCUAAGGAUGAUCUUUGACUAUUUCUUCCAUGCCCCAUCUUCAAGAUGCAGCAUGCCAUUUAAUAAUGUAUGCAAUUUAAUAAUGUAUGCAAUUUAAUAAUGUAUGCAAUUUAGCAGAAACUUUAUGAAAGCGUGUUGAUUUCAGCUCACAUAAACCACAGAUGAGAUAAUAUUAAAGUAAACGUAGCAAAUUAAUACCAUGGAAUGGACAGAUGGGGUUUCUAUAU